UUUGACUGAUAGUCUUGGUAAUCUUUAAUAUAUGCUCAGAGCCAGCUCAUCAUUUUUGGAAGGUGUAUUUAUGCAGUCCAGCAAGGCAUACAUCAAACUGGUGUUUGUCAUUUUCCAGUACAAUGCUAUAAGUAUUUCCCUUAAGGACCUCUCUUCUGUUGUGAAUAAAGAUCCUCAAGAAAGUUUGGGAGAUCACCCAUCUUCUCAGAGACCAAGCAAGUUUUUUCUUUGACGUAGUGGUCUGCAUUGUCCAAGCUUAGGCAGCAUAAGUCCCAAGACCGCUUCAAACCAAUGUCACUUAGAGGCUAACAGUAGGUGCACCCCAAGCCCUUCUGAAGUGUUUCCUGGUGAUAUCCAGCCCCUGACAACUCACAGAGAUACUAGGUUUUCUAUCCCUAGUGUGACAGUGUACACACGUUUGUUUGAUGGAAUGGAUGAUCAGUUCCCGUAUAACAUCACAGCACUGAGAUAUACAGCAGAGCCUCAUAGUUACGAAGACCUUGGGAAUGAGAUUUUCUUGUAACACUGGAAUGUUUGUAACUCAGAACAAAAUGUUAUGGUUGUUCUUUCAAAAGUUUACAACUGAA